GAUGAACGCUGGCGGCGUGCUUAACACAUGCAAGUCGAACGAAGCACUUUAUUUGAUUUCCUUCGGGACUGAUUAUUUUGUGACUGAGUGGCGGACGGGUGAGUAACGCGUGGGUAACCUGCCUUGUACAGGGGGAUAACAGUUGGAAACGGCUGCUAAUACCGCAUAAGCGCACAGCAUCGCAUGAUGCAGUGUGAAAAACUCCGGUGGUAUAAGAUGGACCCGCGUUGGAUUAGCUAGUUGGUGAGGUAACGGCCCACCAAGGCGACGAUCCAUAGCCGACCUGGGAGGGGGACCGGCCACAUUGGAACUGAGACACGGCCCAAACUCCUACGGGAGGCAGCAGUGGGGAAUAUAGCACAAUGGGCGAAAGCCUGAUGCAGCGACGCCGCGUGAGCGAAGAAGUAUUUCGGUAUGUAAAGCUCUAUAAGCAGGGAAGAUAAUGACGGUACCUGACAAAGAAGCACCGGCUAAAUACGUG
rnacentral:rRNA from 1 species